rnacentral:tRNA from 1 species
GAACCUAUAGCUCAGUCUGGUUAGAGCGCCGGUCUUAUAUGAACUUAAUCCAUUUAGGAUUAUUUUAUCUCAAUAGAUACAGUCUAAGAGAGCCGGAGGCCCUGAGUCCAAAUCUCAGUAGGUUCA